rnacentral:tRNA from 1 species
GGGAAGGUGGCUCAGUGGUAGAGUGCUUGCCUUGCAUCCAUGAGGCCCUAGGUUCGAUUCCCCUCCCCC